CUUACAAAUAAUGUCUAAAUUUGGAAGCAACCUAAGCAUCCAUCAAAAGAUGAAUGGAUAAAUAAAAUCUGGUACUUAUACAAAAUGGAGGACUAUUCAUCCAUAAAAAAGACUGAAAUCCAGUCAUUUGCAACAACAUGAAUGGAACUGGAGG